UAAGGAAUAUUGGUCAAUGGACGAAAGUCUGAACCAGCCAUGCCGCGUGGAGGAUGAAGGUCCUCUGGAUUGUAAACUUCUUUUAUAUGGGACGAAAAAAGGCUUUUCUAAGUCGUCUGACGGUACCAUAUGAAUAAGCACCGGCUAACUCCGUGCCAGCAGCCGCGGUAAUACGGAGGGUGCAAGCGUUAUCCGGAUUCACUGGGUUUAAAGGGAGCGUAGGUGGGUUGGUAAGUCAGUGGUGAAAUCCCCGAGCUUAACUUGGGAACUGCCAUUGAUACUAUCAGUCUUGAAUACCGUGGAGGUCAGCGGAAUAUGUCAUGUAGCGGUGAAAUGCUUAGAUAUGACAUAGAACACCAAUUGCGAAGGCAGCUGGCUACACGAAUAUUGACACUGAGGCUCGAAAGCGUGGGGAUCAAACAGGAUUAGAUACCCUGGUAGUCCAUGCCCUAAACUAUGGAUACUCGACAUACGCGAUAC
rnacentral:rRNA from 1 species